rnacentral:rRNA from 1 species
UUUUAUUUGAGAGUUUGAUCCUGGCUCAGGAUAAACGCUGGCGGCGUGCCUAACACAUGCAAGUUGAGCGAUUUACUUCGGUAAAGAGCGGCGGACGGGUGAGUAACGCGUGGGUAACCUACCCUGUACACACGGAUAACAUACCGAAAGGUAUGCUAAUACGGGAUAAUAUAUUUGAGAGGCAUCUCUUGAAUAUCAAAGGUGAGCCAGUACAGGAUGGACCCGCGUCUGAUUAGCUAGUUGGUAAGGUAACGGCUUACCAAGGCAACGAUCAGUAGCCGACCUGAGAGGGUGAUCGGCCACAUUGGAACUGAGACACGGUCCAAACUCCUACGGGAGGCAGCAGGGGGGAAUAUUGCACAAUGGGCGAAAGCCUGAUGCAGCAACGCCGCGUGAGUGAUGAAGGCCUUCGGGUCGUAAAACUCUGUCCUCAAGUAAGAUAAUGACGGUACUUGAGGAGGAAGCCCCUGCUAACUACGUGCCAGCAGCCGCGGUAAUACGUAGGGGGCUAGCGUUAUCCGGAUU